GUGCCAGCAGCCGCGGUAAUACAGAGGGUGCAAGCGUUAAUCGGACUUACUGGGCGUAAAGGGCGCGUAGGCGGCAGAUUAAGUUAGUUGUGAAAUCCCUGGGCUUAACCUGGGAACUGCAAUUAAGACUGAUUAGCUAGAGUCGAAGAGAGGGGGGCGGAAUUUCCGGUGUAGCGGUGAAAUGCGUAGAUAUCGGAAGGAACACCAGUGGCGAAGGCGGCCCUCUGGCUUCAGACUGACGCUGAGGCGCGAAAGCGUGGGUAGCGAACAGGAUUAGAUACCCUGGUAGUCCACGCUGUAAACGAUGAGUACUAGUUGUUGGAAGGCUAAGGCCUUUCAGUAGCGGAGCAAACGCAUUAAGUACUCCGCCUGGGGAAUACGGCCGCAAGGCUAAAACUCAAAGAAAUUGACGGGGGCCCGCACAAGCGGUGGAGCAUGUGGUUUAAUUCGAUGCAACGCGAAGAACCUUACCUACCCUUGACAUCCUAAGAAUUCUGCAGAGAUGCGGAAGUGCCUUCGGGAACUUAGAGACAGGUGCUGCAUGGCUGUCGUCAGCUCGUGUCGUGAGAUGUUGGGUUAAGUCCCGUAACGAGCGCAACCCUUGUGCCUAGUUACCAGCAUUAAGUUGGGGACUCUAGGCAGACUGCCGGUGACAAACCGGAGGAAGGUGGGGAUGACGUCAAGUCCUCAUGGCCCUUAUGGGUAGGGCUACACACGUGCUACAAUGGGCAGAACAAAGGGAAGCGAAGCUGCGAAGCGGAGCGGAUCUCAAAAAACUGUUCGUAGUCCGGAUAGGAGUCUGCAACUCGGCUCCUGAAGUCGGAAUCG
rnacentral:rRNA from 1 species